rnacentral:lncRNA from 1 species
AUGACACCUCCAGAUUCUCCUGUCUCCAUCAUCUCCCAGAGCUGCCAUCACACCAAGAGGGAGAGGGGGUGCGGGAUGGCCACCGGCUUCUCUUUGCCCAAGGGAUGGGAACGUGUGAGUAUGUCCCUGUGCUGGCAGCCAAGUCACUUUGUGCUCAUUCUCCCUCAACACCUGGGCAGUGCCAGGGCACCUGUCCCCUGGCUGGAUCGGGCUGGUCUGGGCUUCAAGGCUGUGCAGCUUUGCUGUGGGGUGGGGAAUCCACCUUUCCCCUUCCCUUCUCUUGUUUCUUUACCUUUCCUUUCAUUUUCCCCUUCCCUUUUUCUCUUUCCCCUUUCUUCUUCCCUUCCACCUUUUUUUUUUCCUCCAGUCUUAUGUCUCUUUACCUUUUCCUUUUUUGCUUUCUUUUUCCUUUCCUUUCCUUCCCCCCCUUACCCCUUUCUCUAUCCUUUUCCCUAUCCCUUUUUCUUUUCCUUUUCCUUGUUUCCUUUUCCUUCCGCUAGUUUUCUUCCUUUUCAUUUCCAUUUCCUCUUCCACGUUUUCCUCUUUUCUCUUUCUCUUCCUGUUUCCUCUCCCUGUUUUCAUAUUUUCUUUUUCCUUUCCCGUUUCUUUUUUUUUUUUUUUUUCCCCUCAUUUCCCUUUCCUUUUUGUCUCCUUUCCCUUUCAUCCUUCUUACUCCCCCUCUUUCUCCAUAUCUUCUUUUGCCUUUCCCCCUUUCCUUCUUCUUUCCAUUUCUCUUCUCUCUUCCCUUUUCCCUUCCCCUCCUUUCUGCAUGCUUGUCCUUACACAUCCCGAUACCCACCACUCGAGGAUUACAGCUGCUUCUGCCCGGCGGCAGCGGGCGGAGAACGGCGGGGCGCCCGCCGGGGCCCGCAGACCGGCCCGGGAGGGUGCAGCCCCGCAGAAGAGACGCGCAGCUCCCACAGCCCAGAGCUCGGAGCCCCCUACCCCCGCCGGUCGCGGCGCGGAUCACGUCCAGGCGCCGGCGCUGCGCUCGCACCUCGCCGGGUCCGGGGCUCUGUGCUCCCGGGGAAGGUGCCCGCCCCGACCAGCUCGCGCGGCCGUAGCCCCCGCCUCGCUCUCACCUCCGAGCUGGUCUCGUCGGACCCGAGACGGACAUCAACGCCGGGGCGCCGAGCGGCCGGACGGGCGAUGCAUGUGGGCUAG